AGCCAUAAUCUCUCUGUUGUGGAUCCAGGUAACUGGUAUGGUCACAAAAUUUGAGAAUCGCUGCUCUUUUCCAUACCUGGGAUUUCCCAGUGCUUUUAUAAAAAAGCCACCUGUUUACCAAACUUCCCAGACAAUAAGAUGCAAGAAGUACAGGUUCAUUGUGAAUUCUGAGAGGUGACCAAAGAACACUUUUCUUAAUGGAGAAACAAAUGCCUAUGGCACUAAAUCAGGCUAGUGCAAAUCAAUUCAGUUCUUUCUAGGAAGGAGAAUAAGCAAAGUGUAAUUGGACCUUCUUGGAAAAUAAGCAGUGUGAUCUGAUAGUAAAGAUAAGCUCCCACUGAGAAAUAGCAUCUUGAUUUCAGGCUGAUGUGACAUUAAUGAGGAAAUUUCAGAGACUGGAACCUCUGGGGCAUAAUUUGUUGUCUUCACCAAGUUUCAGUCCAAGCUGCAGUUUACAAAGGCAUUUACAAUGUCAUGUGGUUGAGAGGGCUGUGGCUUUCACUGGUUCAGUUAUGCACUCAGCGUGAGAUUUGGGCUAGUACCACUUGGUAGAGUUUUGACCCACCCUGAAAGUUGAUGAGGAUUAGAAGUUGAGGCUGGGCACAGUGGCUCACGCCUGUAAUCCCAGCACUUUGGGAGGCCGAGGUGGGUGGAUCACCUGAGGCUGGGAGUUCAAGACCAGCCUGGCCAACAUGGCGAAACCCCAUCUCUAUUAAGUAAAGUACAAAAAUUAGCUGGAUGUGGUGGCGGGUGCCUGUAGACCCAUUGAGAUGCAGUCUCACUGUUGUCCAGGCUGCAGUGCAGUGGCACAAUCUCUACUCACUGCAACCUCCACCUCCUGGGUUCAAGAGAUUCUCCUGCGUCA
rnacentral:lncRNA from 1 species